AUGCCGAGGAAAGAGCGGCGGUCAGGUGUGGCAUACAUCCACAAUGACAAAGACCGUGAUCUCACCUUCUACAAGCGACGUUCCGGUUUGUUCAAGAGGGCGACUGACAUCUCUGCCCUCACUAGGGCUAGGGUUGCGGUCGUCCUAGAAACAAACAAUGGAAAGAUGCACUCAUUUGGGACGCCAUUGGCCGAUCCCAUUGUUGAUGAUUUCCUAUUUGGAGCUCCACCAGUAGUUCCCUCUGCCGACGAGGCAACCACUGCUAGGAUUGGAAGCCUACAGAACGAGGUGGCUCGGUUGGACAUGGAGAACAUGACCGAGGAAGACAAAAACCAACUUUCCAUCCUUCGUAUGAAAAAUAUACAAAAAGAGAAUCCAGGUAUGGUGGCAAAUCUUAUCUUCACGAAGGAAAAAGAUCUCAGUCUUGAAGAUCUGAACAAGCUCUUCAGUGAGCUCUCUCGGGUCCAAAAAGAUAUU
rnacentral:rRNA from 1 species